CCUACGGGAGGCAGCAGUGGGGAAUAUUGCGCAAUGGGCGAAAGCCUGACGCAGCCACGCCGCGUGUGCGAUGAAGGUCUUCGGAUCGUAAAGCACUGUGGGGGGAGAAGAACAAAGCUGGUGAAGAGCCAGCCCUGACGGUAUCCCCUUAGCAAGCACCGGCUAACUCCGUGCCAGCAGCCGCGGUAAUACGGAGGGUGCAAACGUUGCUCGGAAUCACUGGGCGUAAAGCGCACGUAGGCGGCCUUGCAAGUUGGAUGUGAAAGCCCUGGGCUCAACCCAGGAAGUGCAUCCAAAACUGCUUGGCUUGAGUACCGGAGGGGUUCAGAGAAUUCCCGGUGUAGAGGUGAAAUUCGUAGAUAUCGGGAGGAAUACCAGUGGCGAAGGCGCUGAACUGGACGGUAACUGACGCUGAGGUGCGAAAGCGUGGGUAGCAAACA
rnacentral:rRNA from 1 species